AUUGAACGCUGGCGGCAUGCUUUACACAUGCAAGUCGAACGGUAACAGGCCGCAAGGUGCUGACGAGUGGCGAACGGGUGAGUAAUGCAUCGGAACGUGCCCAGUCGUGGGGGAUAACUACUCGAAAGAGUAGCUAAUACCGCAUACGAUCUAUGGAUGAAAGCGGGGGACCGUAAGGCCUCGCGCGAUUGGAGCGGCCGAUGUCAGAUUAGGUAGUUGGUGGGGUAAAGGCUCACCAAGCCAACGAUCUGUAGCUGGUCUGAGAGGACGACCAGCCACACUGGGACUGAGACACGGCCCAGACUCCUACGGGAGGCAGCAGUGGGGAAUUUUGGACAAUGGGCGCAAGCCUGAUCCAGCAAUGCCGCGUGCAGGAAGAAGGCCUUCGGGUUGUAAACUGCUUUUGUACGGAACGAAACGGCUCUGGUUAAUACCCGGGGCUAAUGACGGUACCGUAAGAAUAAGCACCCGCUAACUACGUG
rnacentral:rRNA from 1 species